rnacentral:lncRNA from 1 species
UUUUUUGGACAUUUAUUGUAGAAGGAAUGAAAAGGAAAAUGAGAGAAAAAACUAAUAACUUUUAUUAAGAUGAGUAACAUGGCUCCAUAGAAACCAUAAGGUCUAUAUGUGGGCUCAUGAACCAAUUCAUCAAAGUAUUUGUACUUUACAUUUGGGUCAACGCAAUAAGUAACUUGCCAAAUUUAUCUUUAGACGUGGGACAUAUAACGGGUCCAUAACUCAUUCCGGCCAAAAUUGGCUUGAAAAGGUGUUGAACGACACAAAACAAGCACAUUUUAUAUGCUAGGGAUUAAAAUCGCCGAUUUUUAUUUUGAAGGAUUAAAUUUUUACAACAGUGGUAUGUGAGGGACGAUCAAUUUAAUUUUUCCUUCUUCUUUUGAAUUCAAAUUCACUGGCACCCAAUGCUCACAUUACAAAUAAAUAAAUAAGUACAAUCAUGAAUCACUCCACAAUUAACUAGUGGAUGCUGGGUAUUGGAUUAUGAGAAAGUGGGCCAAUGAAGGUGGUACCAAGAGAUGGUACAGAUAGGGAACGGGUUUCAAUUAUUUUUGGGAUCAUAAUUUAAUAGCAGAGAUUAUUAGAGAUCAUUCAGCAACAUAAUUUUCAUGUCACGGCCAAACACAAACACACGACCUUACGUAGCCAACAUGUGGUGCCAUAGGAAACAUCUACUAAAAAUAUCCAGACUUGACGUUUUCAGAAACUUGUUAUUGGGAUCUCGUGCAAAACGUGAGGUUGUCGUGCAAAACGUGGAGGAUGUCCUGUGGGGUCUCGUGCAAAACGUGAGGUUGUCCUGUGGUACAAAAAUGUUUGCACUAUGAUCAGAUGAAAGAACCACUGGGCUAGUGGCUCAGUGGCCAUCAGGGAGGGACUUAAGUCUCUCCUUGGGCUGUUGAUGAGGGUUCAAACCUCACCAGCAGCGAAAAAAAAUUUAAAAGUUGUGUCAUAGUACUUUCUUGAUUUAGUUGGGUCUGUAUACCCACUAGCUCCUACAAAAAAAAAAAAAUAAUCAGAUGAAAUAAUCUAGGUGGAAGUUCUUUUUUUUUUCCUAAAGGAAACUUACUCUAUGGGAAUCGACUUUAAGAAAGAUAUCCCACUGUGAUCAAUAAAUCUUGUAAUAAUGUACCACGGAUGCUAAAACGCCCUGUAUUACUAUUGAACAAUUGGAGGAAAAGGUCAUAGUCGAAGACGAAGGCAACUAGGAAAAGUGACUUUUUUUUGUAUUUGUAUUUGUGUGUGUGUCUAUACAUACAAAUAUAUAUAUAUAUAUAUAUAUAUAUAUAUAUAUAUAUAUAUAUAUAUAUAUUUGUAAAUAAGAGGUGUUGAAUACAGGGCUUUCUACUUAUAAUAUUUUUCACCUUGCCAUCCAAUCCAACCCUCCCCGACAAAAAAGAAGCGGUUAUGAAAGUGGAGAAGAUGGUUAGUUGUUGACCUAAGU